rnacentral:rRNA from 1 species
CCUACGGGAGGCAGCAGUGGGGGAUAUUGCACAAUGGGGGGAACCCUGAUGCAGCGACGCCGCGUGGGUGAAGAAGCGCCUCGGCGCGUAAAGCCCUGUCAGCAGGGAAGAAAAUGACGGUACCUGAAGAAGAAGCCCCGGCUAACUACGGGCCAGCAGCCGCGGUAAUACGUAGGGGGCGAGCGUUAUCCGGAUUUACUGGGUGUAAAGGGGGCGCAGGCGGGGAUGCAAGCCAGGCGUGAAAGCCCGGGGCCCAACCCCGGGACUGCUGUUGGAACUGCGUGGCUGGAGUGGAGGAGGGGCAGGCGGAAUUCCUGGUGUAGCGGUGAAAUGCGUAGAUAUCAGGCGGAACACCGGUGGCGAAGGCGGCCUGCUGGACUGCAACUGACGUUGAGGCCCGAAAGCGUGGGGAGCAAACAGGAUUAGAUACCCGAGUAGUC